CGAGCACGCGCGUGUGGCAUAUCAAUAAGCGGAGGAAAAGAAACUAACAAGGAUUCCCUUAGUAACGGCGAGUGAAGCGGGAAGAGCUCAAAUUUGAAAUCUUCAAGGUUCUACCUUGACGAAUUGUAGUUUAAAGAAGUGUUUUCUGUUAGAUGAGUAGCAAAAGUUCCUUGGAAUGGGACAUCAUAGAGGGUGAGAAUCCCGUAUUUGGUUAUUCAUUCUAGCUUUGUGAUACACUUUCAAAGAGUCGGAUUGUUUGGGAAUGCAGUCCAAAAUGGGUGGUAAAUUUCAUCUAAAGCUAAAUAUUGGCGAGAGGCCGAUAGCGAACAAGUACCGUGAGGGAAAGAUGAAAAGAACUUUGAAAAGAGAGUUAAACAGUACGUGAAAUUGUCAAAAGGGAAGCGUUUGACACCAGUGUUGUUUUUCCGAAAAUCAAUUACGAAUGUUUUGUUUUUGAGGAGUUAUGACUUCAUCGGCUUGCUCCUUUCUUUACGAAACUUUCUUAAUGCACUUUUCGGUUAACAAGUCAACAUCAAUUUCUUUUGUUGUAAAAGGGUAUGAGGAAGGUGGCUUUCUUUUCGGAGAAAGUGUUUAUAGCCUUGUGCCUCUACAAUCGGAGAGAUUGAGGUCUGCAGCGUAGAUCCUUCGGGGUUAGAUACGUUUGUGCUAAGUUAUAGCUUUUCAUAGACAACUUGUUGACUAUGUUUAGUCUUGUAGCUUACUCGCUGACGCUAUUUUACCUACGCUUAGGAUGUUGAGUAGCGACAUACGCAC
rnacentral:rRNA from 1 species